rnacentral:rRNA from 1 species
ACAUUGAUUCUUCCUGCAGUGACACUUAUAGAAGCCGUUGUGAUCUCGCAAGAGAUAACCUCGCGACUAAAAAUAAAGAUGGUGAGCACAAGUGAUACCAUUGUAUUGCAACAUAAUUGAAUUGCGGGGAUCUCCUAAAGCUGCCUAGUACUAACUCUCUCCAGAAAUGGAGGGAGGGCCUAUGAUAACAUCAUAGGGUAGUAAGAAUCUUCGCAGAUGCCACAAUGGACAAUCCGCAGCGCAUCUCUAAGGGUAUCAUAUGCCUAUGAGUUUCGUUCACAGACUAAGUGGUUAUGGGUAGUUAACACUACUUAAGAUAUAGUCGGGCCUCAAUUUAACGGUUGAGGAGUAAGUCACAUUUUAUGAUUUACGAGUACAAGAUGUAUGUUUUGUGCAGUAACCGUUCCGUAGGUGAACCUGCGGAAGGAUCAUUACAGAGUUCAUGCCCUCACGGGUAGACCUCCCACCCUUGUGUAUUUAUACUAUGUUGCUUUGGCGAAGUGUUUGGCUCCGGUCAAGCCUCAUCUCUUCUGAGUUGAGAGUCCUUCGCCAGAGGAAAACUAAAUUCUGAUUAUUAAUGUCGUCUGAGUACUAUAUAAUAGUUAAAACUUUCAACAACGGAUCUCUUGGUUCUGGCAUCGAUGAAGAACGCAGCGAAAUGCGAUAAGUAAUGUGAAUUGCAGAAUUCAGUGAAUCAUCGAAUCUUUGAACGCACAUUGCGCCCCUUGGUAUUCCCGGGGGGCAUGCCUGUUCGAGCGUCAUUUCAACCCUCAAGCUCAGCUUGGUAUUGGGCUUUUAUCAGUAAAAUGGUAAGCCUCAAAAUCAGUGGCGGCGCCGUUGGGUCCUGAACGUAGUAAUAUAUUUCGUUACAGGUACCUCGCGUGCUUCUGCCAUUAAACCCCCAA